rnacentral:lncRNA from 1 species
ACCCAUUAAAAAAUCUAUAUUCCCUUACCCUAAAGAGAAAAAAGAGAGAAUAAUAAAAAAGAGGACCCCCCUUUCUAUCUCCAUGGACACAACUCGGUUUCCACCCAAAAAACCAGACCCCUCUUUCUUCUUCUUCACUAGCUCACCUCACGAAUCCGGACCCUUUCACUCAUACACCUAAACUCACUCAUCUCGCUAAUCUCCCCUAAAUCCCUAACACACGAGUUAGACUGCAAUUUUUUUUUAGAGAUCUUUCAUUAUUUACCUCUCAUUUUUAGUAGAAAAGCUUUUAAAAUUUCAGUCCUAAUAGCUACAGAAAAGACCAAAAAAUGUAAAGAAGAAUUCAAAUUUUCCAUAUUUGUCCUUCGAUUGCACAUCUUUGUUAUACAAAUUUGAUUCACUGCUUGAUUUCCUUGUUCUGCUACUGAGAGCUGAUGCUGAGUUCUACUUUUAUGUUGUAAUUUUAUUUGGUUGUCAAGCUCUACUUUUCAAGUGUUUUCUAAAGGAUUUGGUUGGGAUUUUCUACUGUUUGUUGUUGGCUCUACUUCAAUUAGCAGCUGAACAUAAAUUUGAAGUUUAUUUCUGGUCUCUAUUUGGCUGCUUUUUCUAAAGUUUUAUCGCUACUGUCUAGGUGCUCAUCGCUCUUCUGUUUAUGUGUUCAUCACUAGAAUCAAAGGAGAACAUGUUCAUUUUGUCUAACACUAUCUUUUCCUGCUAAUCUGGUUGCUUUAUUUUUCCUAUUUCUUUAACCUGCUGAUUUUUUUUGUUGCUGCUAUACUGCACAAGUCAGUAGCUGAACAUCAAUUUGAAGUUUAUUUCUGGUCUCUAUUUGGCUGCUUUUUUUUAAAGUUUUAUCGCUACU